rnacentral:rRNA from 1 species
GAUGAACGCUGGCUACAGGCUUAACACAUGCAAGUCGAGGGGAAACGGCAUUUGGUGCUUGCACCGAAUGGACGUCGACCGGCGCACGGGUGAGUAACGCGUAUCCAACCUUCUCGUUACUGCGGGAUAACCUGCCGAAAGGCAGACUAAUACCGCAUGUUCUUCGAUGACGGCAUCAGAUUCGAAGCAAAGAUCCGUCGGUAACGGAGGGGGAUGCGUCUGAUUAGCUAGUUGGCGGGGCGACGGCCCACCAAGGCGACGAUCAGUAGGGGUUCUGAGAGGAAGGUCCCCCACAUUGGAACUGAGACACGGUCCAAACUCCUACGGGAGGCAGCAGUGAGGAAUAUUGGUCAAUGGGCGGAAGCCUGAACCAGCCAAGUAGCGUGCAGGAUGACGGCCCUACGGGUUGUAAACUGCUUUUAUGCGGGGAUAAAGUGAGGGACGCGUCCCUUUUUGCAGGUACCGCAUGAAUAAGGACCGGCUAAUUCCGUGCCAGCAGCCGCGGUAAUACGGAAGGUCCGGGCGUUAUCCGGAUUUAUUGGGUUUAAAGGGAGCGUAGGCCGGGGAUUAAGUGUGUUGUGAAAUGUAGGCGCCCAACGUCUGACUUGCAGCGCAUACUGGUUCCCUUGAGUACGCGCAACGCCGGCGGAAUUCGUCGUGUAGCGGUGAAAUGCUUAGAUAUGACGAAGAACCCCGAUUGCGAAGGCAGCCGGCGGGAGCGCAACUGACGCUGAAGCUCGAAGGUGCGGGUAUCGAACAGG